rfam:Schistosoma mansoni strain Puerto Rico chromosome W, complete genome
AGCUUUCUGAAUCCGUGCUGAGAUUUCAUCGGACGGCAGCCUAUCAGGACUGAUGAGACUCACAAGAUAAGUCAGGUA